CGGAACUUUUAUUUUGGCAGGUGGAGUGAAAUCAGACCCAGCGCUGUCUCAGAAAGUGCCACAGAAAAAGGCGGACUAUUUCUAAAACUCGGGCAUCUAAGUCAGUUUUGUGAUUUAAAAAGACAGAAAUAAGAAAGUGGAUGAUUUUGGCUCAUAUAUAAUCUGUAAUUUUUUUGUUCUGGAUUACAACGAAACUAAAAUCAGCGUCUUCGCCAGCUUCUUGUUCGAAUUUUUCCGGUCCACCUUAAAUGGCGCCCCAGUUCCUAUAACGCCUCAGGCUCCGAACGCGAGCCCUGCACCAUUUAAGGUGGAGCGGGCAAAUUCGAAAAGGAAGCCAACUUGUGAAUUAAAGCAGGCUGAUCAGGACCUCGUGGUAGAGCAUCAACAACUUGGGGGUUGUUUAUUAGUUAAUGAUCAAAUAUUAUAAAUAAACAGCUGAUAAACGCGAUAAGGCUGCUCAGCCUGUGUGGUCAGGAUGUGGUCAGAGCAUGGCAGUGUGUAUGUGAGGGAGAAAGGUGAGCUGCACUGUGUAAGGACUGAUGGUCAGCUGCUCUCCACAUAUAAAGCGCCCAGGCUGUUUCAGAAGGACUUUACAGUAAGACUCUGCAUUGAGAGUUCAGCCCCCAUCAGCAGGCAGAGGAGUGACCACUUCAUCUUCACCUACAACAGAGAGGGCAGUCUGUGCUACACGGUCAAACCCCUGCUGGACAUCUCUCUGCUCUUUAUAGCUGAUAAUAUUGAACAUGUGGACUCUCUGGUUGGUUUUCCUGAACAAAUGGCUCAUAAGCUGUUUGUGGUUGCAGAGGAGAAGCAGAAGUUCACAGACCCUCCGACCUCAGCCAGGGCACUGCAGGUGUUCAGUGAGGCCUACGGAGGGCUAGUGUUAAAGUCACUGUGUCUGAGAGACAGGAAACUUCUGGUAUCUGAAAGGAUGGAUGAGAUUCAGGUGUUUCAUCAGCUGGAGGUUCUGGAUCUGUACGGGUGUGGAUUAGGAGACAGUCACGACAUUUUCAGACACCUCAGCUCAGAGGCUUUCACCAGGCUGGUCAGGCUGUUUUUGGGAGAUAACUGUCUGACGGAUAAAGGCCUCCAGAGACUGACCGCACCAAUCAGAGUGAUGAAAAAAGGGCUGGAGAACCUCCAACAACUGGACCUGUCUGGUAACCCUCUCUCAGAGAAAGGACUCUGGUAUCUCACCUGCUUUAAGAAGCUGGAGGAGCUGGACGUCUCCAGGACGAGUGUGAAGUUAGACGCAUCGCUGAAGAGCUUCUUCAGGGCGAUGAUGAGGAUGGAGCUCUCGGCAGAACCGCUGAAGGUCUUCACUCAUGCUAAGUGUCAAACUGAGGGCUGGGCUGAAGAGGUAAUAAACCAGUGGGAAAGAAAAGCUUCAGAGUUACCAAACAAGGAGCCUAAACCAAGAACCAACGCUCUGCAGUUCUACGGAAGGGAAAAGUUUGUCCGAGAGAGGAUUCACUCCACCUCUAACGAUCGCAGAACCGAAGGACAGAUGACCAUAAUCCACUUCUACAAGCCUCACAGCCCAACACAACAGACAGGACACAGUAAGGACACCACUGCAGCCCUGACUGUCCUGAUGGGCAGAAAGAGGAAACUUUCAGGCGAAAAAGAAGAACAAGCUGAGAGCAGCCCACCUGCCAAACGCCCACCUGAGAGCACCUUCUCAGCUGAAGACUUGAACCUCCUGAACAGUUACUGACAGACACUUCACCUUGAUCAUGCAGAAGGUUCUUUUUGGUGCAUGAUUCUGCAUGAUUCUGCAUCAUGAAAGGGUUCUUCAAAUUGAUGGAGAACGUACUGUAGAUGGUUCUAUAUAGUACCCAGAAUGUUUUAACUAUUGUUAUAAGUUUGACAUUGUAACAAUAGAAGACCCCUUUUUCAAAAGGUUCUAUGUAGAACCGUCUACAGCACAUUCUUAAGAGCCCGUUCAUGAUGCAAAGAUAGGGUUCAUUGAGUGUUCGAUAUAGAAUCAGUCUCUUUAUUAGUGAACCCUUAAAGAGACCAUGCGUUUUAAGAGUGUACCUUCCUGCGGAGUCCGGUUCCACCGUAUGCCCCUCCUGCUCUGGCUCAGUCCCUGAUUGGCUGGAUCAGAUGCUUUAGUGUUGGAUGUGGACGGUGAGCAGCAGUUGGAUGAAGCUUGGAACUAAACUCUGCAGGACAGCAGAUCUCCAGGAGGAGGGCUAUUGACCGCUGCUUCAUGCUGUGAUGAUGACCAGCAGAGGAAACUCACCACAGGCCUUAUUUUAAAAGGAAAUGACACUUACAGACACCGGCCUCAUCUGAACAGUCCCCACAGUCAUUAAUGCGGUUAAAGCCUUUGUCGAUGGUCCAGACGCGAGGAUUUCCACACCGAAAAAUCAGGGCACUCGGAAGAUUAUCAGGUAAAUCACCUGCAGAACAGACAGGGCUGUAAAACACUGGAGAUGAGAAAUGUAUGGAUGUGGAUUAAGUUUAGAACCGUACUGCAUAUGAGAUCUCUCUCAUCGGCUCCAUCGGGACAGUCAGGUGCAGAGGUCAGAAUGAGGAAGGCAGGUCACUCUCAUCACACAGAAAUCCUGACCCAUUCUGCGCUGUCC